rnacentral:rRNA from 1 species
GACGAACGCUGGCGGCGUGCUUAACACAUGCAAGUCGAACGAAGAGCGAUGGAAGCUUGCUUCUAUCAAUCUUAGUGGCGAACGGGUGAGUAACGCGUAAUCAACCUGCCCUUCAGAGGGGGACAACAGUUGGAAACGACUGCUAAUACCGCAUACGAUCUAAUCUCGGCAUCGAGGAUAGAUGAAAGGUGGCCUCUACAUGUAAGCUAUCACUGAAGGAGGGGAUUGCGUCUGAUUAGCUAGUUGGAGGGGUAACGGCCCACCAAGGCGAUGAUCAGUAGCCGGUCUGAGAGGAUGAACGGCCACAUUGGGACUGAGACACGGCCCAGACUCCUACGGGAGGCAGCAGUGGGGAAUCUUCCGCAAUGGACGAAGGUCUGACGGAGCAACGCCGCGUGAGUGAUGACGGCCUUCGGGUUGUAAAGCUCUGUUAAUCGGGACGAAAGGCCUUCUUGCGAAUAGUGAGAAGGAUUGACGGUACCGGAAUAGAAAGCCACGGCUAACUACGU